UCUCAGUAGUGUGUGUGAGAGUGUCUCAGUAGUGUGUGUGAGAGUGUCUCAGUAGUGUGUGUGAGAGUGUCUCAGUAGUGUGUGUGAGAGUGUCUCAGUAGUGUGUGUUGGUAUUUCCGGAUUAUGAGGACAUUUCACCUGUUUACACACUUACUCUAUGAGGACAUACCGGAUGUGUGAGGACAAAGGCCAUGUCCUCACAAGUCAAGCACUGCAGCCGCGCUUAUCAAGCCGUAAAUGACCACCUCCCGCUUUUUCUCGGCAUGUCUCCAUAACUCGGUUUUACCCGAUUUCUAGUGUAUGACAGUGUGUGCUCACAGUGUGUUAUAUCCGACACUACUUUUUUUUUUUCUACUGCGGAGUGUAUCAGUGUAUCGUCAGUCGAUUGGCUACUGCCUAGGGCAGACUCUGAUCAAUGAUUGGCUCUACUUGACGUCAAUCAGGCAGACUCUGAUCAGUGAUUGGCUCUACUUGACGUCAAUCAGGGUGAUUCUGAUCAGUGAUUGGCUGUUGAGCCCUCGGCCAAGUUCUCAACUCACAAUGAAGAAACAAUGGCGGCGAUCGUCACUACUCCGCAUGAGGGCAGAGUCACCUCUAUCAACUCAAUUUAACUAAACUGGUAAGUGAAUAUUUUAACGAUGCAUUAAAUAAACCGUGUCUACAGUGAAAGCUGUAGGUAUUUCGGUUGCUAUGUCUAACUAACUUGUCUAUGUUGUAACGAGCCGUGGAUCCGGGUCCAGUUGUGCUAACGUUAGCUAACGUAGCUAACGUAGCUAACGUUAGCUAACGUUAGUUGCUAUCAAGCUUUAAGGUGCUUGAUUUAACAGAUUUAAAUUUAACUCAAAUGGCGUUUUAUUUUUGAUAAUUAAACGUUUGCCUCUGAAGAGCGAGGGUCGCUAAAUCAGCCCCGCCUGAGCACACCCCCCGCAACCUACCCCCACCCGAGCUGGGGCUGCUGCUCAGACCCUUGAAGAUCUGCAUGUUGAGUGGGCUAAUUCUCACAUUUUACUAUGUUAAAUGAAGGUUUUAUUUCUACCAGACCGUAGUGAUUGCUGGAGUGUAUUAGAAAAACCAAGGCAGAAGGCAAAAAAGUGUUUUUGAUUUAUUAAAGUUAACUUAGCUAGGCUUAGUUUGGUGAAAGAGAGAAACUCAGAAGGUGUAAGUUGUAUGAAUCUGUUUAAUAUGGAAAUAUAUUAAUGUUAAGCACCUUAAAGGCUACUGCUUCUAAUGGUGAUCUACUGGAACUCCUUGCAUCUGUGUAUAUUUAGAACUUCAUUAUCAGAAGUUAGUACUUCCAGUUAAAUAAUAUUUCAUUUUCACAAGCUAAUUUUCUCUGGUUUGUACAGCAGGAUGCAGUACUGUUACUUUAAUGUAAGACUGAGGACAAACAAGUGAUCCAUUUAUGAAUAGCGCGUGAUCUGUGCAGAAGUAAUUUUAAAGGGGUAACAUUAAGACCAAUUGACCUAUAAAAUCCAUCUCUUAUGGAUAUAUAAGUUUUGGGCAUCCUGCUGCUCCUUCAUCAAUGCACUAUAUUCUGUGACCUUAGCAAUUAUCCAACUUAAUGUAAUUGUCAUAGCUAUUCUCACUAUCUAUAUAUACUGAUUUGUUUAUUACUUAAUAGUCUAUGUUUUCUGAAAACUACUGCAGCAAACAUGAUGGAGAGAAGGAGGAGAGACUCCUGAACAGGAUGCCGUGGACCACAUCAUUUUGGGCAGAGAUAAAUCUUUUCUACAAGAAAAUAUUUAAUCCCACAAAAUGUAAUUUUUAUCUGGGCUAUUUGUCUUUCAGCAUAGACUCUUCGAAAGAGGAUGGAACACUGGACGACUGGCAAAUGAUGACCACAUAAACCCCAACUGCAGAGUAAAAGAAAAUACUGUCAGAGGAAGGCCACACUUGUGCCUGUUUGCUGUGAAAGAGAUAUUUCCAGACGAGGAGAUAACGUACAACUAUGGGGAUUAUUGUUGGCCAUGGCCCUCAAUGGCACCUUGCAAAGAACUGUCCAAUCCUGAGCCCAAGCAAGUGGUUCCAGUCUUGGCAGAAAAAGAAAUGGCACCCUGCAAAGAACUGUCCAAUCCUGAGCCCAAGCAAGUGGUUCCAGCCUUGGGAGAAAAAGAAAUGAUGAAUUGGAACCGGAAACGAUUGGAGAGGAAGAUCCAGACGACAAUGACGAUGAUGGAGAUGGUGAAAAGUCUCAUCCUGUCCUUGGAUUAAGAGGAAAGACAAUUCACCUGGAAACCAGAGGUGAGGUCACCAGCUCCAAAGGUAGGACUCAUCCCUUACUACUUGUCCCUCAGGGUCGCAGUUACAAAAGUGCAGUAUCGGCCCUGCCGCACAACAUUUAAUCAGAUUUAAUUUAUUUUAUUAUUUUUUGAGGGUUUGCAAAAAAAAAAUACCAAGUAACUGUUGAAUGUAGCACUACAGCGAUACGGUUUCUACUUAAGCGGACACCAAAAAAAACUCUUCGUAAAUGCAUUUACUGUAGUGUUUAGGAAAAUUUGAAAUAGAAGAAUGAAAAAGCCACAUUGUUCACCACAAUUUUUGCCUCUUAAUGAUAAGUUAGAGCCAGUGUGGUAAAAUCUAAUGUUUUGGUUGGGCUGAAUCUUUCCACAUGUCUUGCCAUUUUUAUGAACAGCUCCGGCUUCACACAAAAAUCGCAACAUAAAGCUUUGUCCAACUAAUGUAUUUCCAAAACGCAUUUUCUCUGCUGUUUUUUCAAAAUGCCGAUAUACAUGACAAUCUUACCUAUGUAUAAUUGUCUUUAUAAUAAUAUGAACGAGGAAAAUGUGUUAUAUGUAGAUGAAGAUAUGUAAAUAAGUCAUAGAGAAAAAUGGAAGUGUCUGCGGUGAUGAAACACUCCAAGGCCCACAUUUUGAAGGGACACUUGGCCAAAAAAUGGAGUGAGAGCAGUGCUAGAGACUUUGUAAGGAACAGGGGACGCAUGUCCACAAAGGGAAAUUUAGUUUGAGAGAAUAUGUCCAAGAAACCUCUUUAAAGCACCUGUUACAGUACAACUUUUGAGAAAAAUGUACAGUUCCAUUUUCAGUAAAAUGUACUGCAAUUGUGACUGCGUCUUUUGAAGCAGUAUAGUUUACUGCACUUGUUACUGUGUCUUUUGACGCAAUACUUAAGCAGAUAUAUAUAUAUAUUGCCAAUAUUUAAUGUUUGAUAAUGGUAUACAUUACAAUAAAUGUAUUUUCACAUAAAAGCCGUCUAAUUUUGUGGUGGGGAGGGGCCCUGAUAAACACACGUAUUUGUAUAUAGCCAUCCAUCCCCAGGAUGGUCCUCAUAACCAAGGGUCUGGUCAUGUUGAUGUAUGUGUACUGGUAAUGUCCUGUUAAACCAGGAUGGUCCUCAUAACCAAGGGUCUGGUCGGUGUAUGUGUACUGGUAAUGUCCUGUUAAACCAGGAUGGUCCUCAUAACGAAAGGUCUGGUCAUGUCGGUGUAUGUGUACUGGUAAUGUCCUGUUAAACCAGGAUGGUCUUCAUAACCAAGGGUCUGGUCAUGUCGGUGUAUGUGUACUGGUAACGUCCUGUUAAACCACGAUGGUCCUCAUAACCAAGGGUCUGGUCAUGUCGGUGUAUGUGUACUGGUAACGUCCUGUUAAACCACGAUGGUCCUCAUAACCAAGGGUCUGGUCAUGUUGGUGUAUGUGUACUGGUAACGUCCUGUUAAACCACGAUGGUCCUCAUAACCAAGGGUCUGGUCACGUUUGUGUAUGUGUACCGGUAAUGUCCUCAUAAAUAAGGGUGGUCUUUAUAAGUCGCCAUCAUGAUAGAAUCCGCCCCCAUCCCGCCCCGUCCCCACAGUCCUGUAGAAUGUCAAGUCUUAAGAUCUCCUGACUCUUUCACCAGAAAUUAAUUCUGAACAGUAGGCUUUGUUUCCUACAUCAUGAGGACCAUUUUGAUAGUUCUUAGCACUCUCUGGGACAAAGGGAAAGGUGUGUCCCCAUAAACCAUGGUUUGAGCAAGUACGGGGAAAAUGUCCUGACAAACCACCUUUGCCCGUAUGUGUGUGUGAGAGUGUCUCAGUAGUGUGUGUGAGUGUGUCUCAGUAGUGUGUGUGAGUGUUGAGUGUCUCAGUAGAGUGUGUGAGAGUGUCUCAGUAGUGUGUGUGAGAGUGUCUCAGUAGUGUGUGUGAGUGUGUCUCAGUAGUGUGUGUGAGUGUUGAGUGUCUCAGUAGAGUGUGUGAGAGUGUCUCAGUAGUGUGUGUGAGAGUGUUCAGUGUCUCAGUAGUGUGUGUGAGAGUGUCUCAGUAGUUAAGUCCUAAACGGCCCCUCAUAAAAGUUAGUUGGGAAGAUCAAUACUUUCCAAAUCUGAACAAGUGAAAGUAAAGCUACUGCCUGCAGAGUUAGCUUAGCUUAGCUUAGCAUAAUAACAAAACAGAGUGAGCCAACCAGUGUUACUCUGUCCAGAGUUAAGUUGCACCUACUGGCCCCUCUGAAAUUAAAUAAUUAACAUGCAUCUAAACAUCUACUGUUUUUAGCACAAACCGAUGUAAAAAAACAAUUUCUUGUGAAUUGUUUUUUUUUUUUGGUUUGUUUUUAGCGGCUCAGGGGUGCUCAAAUAUAGAUCUUCGCACAGAGACAGGCGAGCUAUUUCCCCUGUUUGAGUCUGUAUGGCGAGCUAUGCUAACUUGGUUACUGGUUGUAGCUUCAUAUAGCUUUCAUAUUGAGCAUAGAAACACGAGAGUGGUAUCAAUUCUCAAAAGUUUGAGAAAAACCAAAACAACAAGAGGCUUGUUUCCAUGAAUGUUGAACUAAUCUUUUAAAUCUACAGGACGAAGCACUGAGGCAAUGGACGUCCUGUUUUCUUUUUAAUCCUCCUUGCCUUGUCUGCAUUAUGUGGUCAGACGUCCCUUACAUUUUUUUCUUUACGUUUACUGUUACUGAUAUGAAAAGUGCAAUAUAUUUGAUUUCUAAGAGCUCUGAUUUUAAGAUGUUUUUUUCACGAGCAAAGUUUUUAUUUUAUGUUUUACAGUGACAGGGUGCGACUGCUGUUGGGCGUCCUGGGCGUUAAGUGUCAUUUAAUGCUGGCAUGAGAGAUCCAUAACCACUGAAGCUGCUUCUGAGACUCUUAUAAGACCAGCUGUCAUCUCUCUGGAGGGCCAAAAAUCAAUUCCACUGCAUUACUGCGCUGAUAGCAUAGAAAUAUCAACCGCAACACCGCCAUCUCCCCAGCGUGGGCGCACACACACACACACACACACGCACAUGCACAUGCACAUGCACAGACCCAGAGUCCAGAGUCUCGCUUUAUUUCUUAAGUCAUGUCUUUUACUAAUAAUGUGAUUGAGAGAUGUGUUAUACUGUGAUAGAGGCCAGUUUUUUGCAGAGGAAGCAAACGAAGAGCCUUCACUACGCAUGUCCGAUCACAGAGGUGACGAUGAACGAGCCAAUUUUUGACCAAUCGAUGUAUUAUUCUGUGUUUGUCUUACGAACAUUGCCUAUUAUUAUGAUCUCAAGUGAAGCUACGGACCACUUUUUAAAUGUUUGUCUGACGUAACAUGUUUGUAAUGUUUGUUGUCUACUGAUUGUGUCAUAUCUUUUGUUUUAAUCAUGUUUUGACAUAUUUGAGGAAGUUUUACCUACAGAUCUGGUUUACAUUGUCUUUUCAUCUCUGGUGCAUUAAGCGAUCAAUCAGUUGAAUUUUCAUGCAUUACGUGCCUUUGUCUGACACUUUCUCUUAAAUUAAACAAUACUUUUUAAUCAA